rnacentral:lncRNA from 1 species
CAUCCAUUCGCGUCGAUGUGGAGGCAGGAGAGUUGUCUGAUCGUUGCCUGUUUAGGUCGAUUGCGUGGGCGAUUCUGGAUCGUUCAUCGUGAUUGAUCUCGUUCGUCCGAUUGCGUCUAAAGAGAGAAUGCAUUUGAGUCAUCUAUGCGCGCGGGACGUGAUUAGGACCAUUGGAUCACGAAGCACGCGGAUCGCCCGCAUGGUACCGAUGUCAGCACGUUUUUCUACACAGUGUGCUCUGGUUCGCCGUUGCU